AGGGUUCGAUUAUGGCUCAGAUUGAACGCUGGCGGCAGCCCUUACACAUGCAAGUCGAGCGAGAAAGUUUCUUCGGAAGCGAGUAAAGCGGCGGACGGGUGAGUAACGCGUAGGAAUCUACCAUUCAGUGGGGGAUAGCUCGGGGAAACCCGAAUUAAUACCGCAUAUACCCUAAGGGGGAAAGAGGGCCUAUCCUUGGAAGCUCUUGCUGUUUGAUGAGCCUGCGUGAGAUUAGUUUGUUGGUGAGGUAAUGGCUCACCAAGACUACGAUCUCUAGCUGGUCUGAGAGGACGAUCAGCCACACUGGGACUGAGACACGGCCCAGACUCCUACGGGAGGCAGCAGUGGGGAAUAUUGGACAAUGGGGGCAACCCUGAUCCAGGCAUGCCGCGUGUGUGAAGAAGGCCUUCGGGUUGUAAAGCACUUUAGGUAAGGAAGAAAAGUUAUUGGUUAACACCCAAUGACCGUGACAUUACUUACAGAAUAAGGACCGGCUAACUCCGUGCCAGCCGCCGCGGUAAUAC
rnacentral:rRNA from 1 species